rnacentral:rRNA from 1 species
UACGGGGGGGCAAGCGUUGUUCGGAAUUACUGGGCGUAAAGGCUCGUAGGCGGCCAACUAAGUCAGGCGUGAAAUCCCUCGGCUUAACCGGGGAACUGCGUCUGAUACUGGAUGGCUUGAGUUUGGGAGAGGGAUGCGGAAUUCCAGGUGUAGCGGUGAAAUGCGUAGAUAUCUGGAGGAACACCGGUGGCGAAGGCGGCAUCCUGGACCAACACUGACGCUGAGUGAGCGAAAGCCAGGGGAGCAAACGGG